ensembl:lncRNA
GCCACCCUACGUGUCCCCGCUGUAAUAUGUAUUGGGCCAAUGAAGAGACACUACGUGAUGACGUUUUGAGGUUUAAAUAGGCUUCGGAGCGCUCUGUGUUUAAAGUGCGUUCUGACUUCCGGUUUUUUAGGCGUGGCAAAACGCUCCAAAUCGCAUAAAAUAGCUAUUAUGAAAUUAAAUCUUCGCAGCGAUUAUAUUUCCGUACCAUAUCUUAAUCUAAUCAGGGUGUUGUGUUCGCUUCGAGUUGGAUAAUUUUUGAAUAUUCUUCCGCGGUACGGCUGGUGUGAUCAGCUAGAACUUGGGGAGGAAUAGGACGUGCCCAUACUGAGGUAUUUAUUAAUUCCCUUGAUAACGCAUUAUAUGAGAAGUUAUUUAAGGAAAUGGGUUAUUUAUUUAUGUAUUUAUUUAUUUAAUGUAUUUAUGCUGAUAGUUGGUGAUUUGAGAGAUAUCGGUUAUAAUGUGUAGUAGUUAGGUUAUAAUUAGGUUAGAUUACGAUAUGGCAGUGUUACGAUGACUAUGAUACGGUUAAGGUCAAAUUAUAUUUUUAAGUGGGAUUAAGUUAUAGUUUCUGGUUCAGGCUUACGAUGGGGGGAUUUGGACAAGACCUUGUUGGUUGUAGCAGUUGAAUGUAGAAGUUGUUUUUAGGUCUAAGUCGCUACCUCUGAGUGAGGCAUUGCUGGCGAUGUUUGGCUAUAACUCCACCCGAUCUUGGGCUUUCUUCUUCUGGGCUUUCUUCUUUCCAGCAGGUUUUAUCCCGCAUGUCGGAAUGAUAGGUUAAGCAGAAUAAAGAAUGGACUACCUGUCUGGGCAGUACAUUCACCAUGCCUGUCUGGGCUUGUUUCUCCUCACCUAUCCAAUGGUCCUCCUACCCCCAAUCCAAAAGAGCAGGAGAGACCAAUAAUCUCCUCACCCUCAAUCCAAAAGGAUAGGAGACUGGACAGAUGUGGUCGAUGGACAUAAUUGUCGUCGAAGCUCACGGCCCACCAACGACUAAGGUUACUUUGACUCAGAUAGCGUGCUCGGUCCGAAGGCUCUGGCUGGUUUAGGUUUUGGUAAGAAUACAAUGAUCCCCCCAUCACAAUAAUCCAUUGCGUGGUUGAAUAGGGAUCCAAGGAAGGUGCACGGGCCGGCGCUUGUUAAGCAUAGCUAUCGUUAAUGCAGCAGACCCCGGCUUGGCGUCUGCUGAUUUAACAAAUCCAAUCGAGUCUAACUUGAUUAGUUUUUAUAGUUGGUGGGUCACGAGCUAGAUUUCAAUGGACUGUGGAGAUGGUAUUCAGUUGGAGAUGGUGAUUAGUUGUCUGGGGCUAAGAUGUUCGCCAUGAUUGAGGCUUCGCUGAUGACAUUUGGCUGUAACUCCACCUGAAGUUCGGUUUUCUUCUUUUAUUCACAGUUGGGUGUAGAAGUCUUUUAGGUCUAAGUCAUUCCUCCUGAGUGAGGCUUUUCCUGAUGAUAUGUGGCUGUAGUUCUACCCAAACUUGGGCUUUCUUCUUUAUCUGUAGUUGAGUGUAGAAGUGGUUGGGGCCCAAGCUGUCACUUCUGAUUCAGGCUUUGAUGAUGGUGUUGGCCUUGAUUUUAUGAUUUAUUUAUUUAUUUAUUUAUUUAUUUUAUGCGAGUCCGGCUACAGCUUGGAAUAGGCUAUGGAUAGAUUUUAGCGGUUGAGGUUACGGUUAAUUUUGGGGGGUUAGAGUUUAUGGUUAGGGUGAUGGUUAUGGUUAGGAUUAGGUUAUAAUUUAUUUAUUUUAUGUGUGUGCAGUUACAGUUUGGGCUGGUUAUGUUUAGGUUUAGAGGUUGGGGUUAGGUUAAGUUUUAGGGGUCAGAGGUUACGGUUAGAGCAAUGGUUAUGGUUACGUUUUCAGGAAUUAGGAUCAGGUUAUAAUUUAUUUAUUUUGCGUGUGUCCAGCUACAGUUUGGGAUAUUUUAUGGUUAGGUUUAAAGGUUGGGGUUAGGCACGUUUGGUUAGGCGCAUUUGGUUAGGAGUGUUCGGUUAGGAGCGUUUUGGUUAGGAGUGCUGACAUAUUUAGCAUCUAAUAUCUGAAUUUCUGACAGAUUUUCUAAAUUUUAAGGGAACAAAAAAAACAAUGUGUGCUUAUGCAAUCAGACGUGCAUCCGCUGAAAUCUGUCAUAAAUCCAUUCAUAAACAAUGACGUGUGAAGUUUUGUGUUUAAAACGGGCUCCGCUGCGAUUUCACUAUGCCUGGGGAAGCCCAAUACUGAGCCCCCUUAUGGAGCUCAGUUCAGGGGAAAAGUCUCUGGAAGUUUGUCACUUUGCACGAAAAUAGUGCACAUCACCCGGGGAAGCCCAAAGCUGAAAGCUCUUAUGGAGCUCAGUUCAAGGGAAAUGUCUCUGGAAGUUGGUGAUUUUGUACGAAAAUAGUGCACCAUGCCUGUGGAAGCCCUUUGCUGAAAGCCCCUCUGGUUCUCAGUGUCUCUUGUUUUUUUUCUAAGUCCAAAAUUUUUUCUGUCCGGUUUUCACCUCCGGGGUGCAAGAACCAGGCACUUUUCCCAAUUUUGUAUACGACCCGAAGUGCACCCCGUCGACCACUUUCGUGCCUUGACCCUUGACUGGAAGACGUUUGCGCAUGGGGUUUAUCAGAGGGGUGCCGUUGGGCCAGUGAGCGAUCGUAGGAAUUGAAGGGGUCCAAGCACUUUAUGAUGGCGCUUAUGCUGGGAGACUCCGUCCGAGAGAAGAGACCCUGAAGGCAGUUUCUAUGUCUUUCUCUAGUGCUUGGAUACCCCUGGAGCUUCUGAUUUUUUUUCAUUUUCAUCAUUUAAAAAAAAAAAUUUUCUUUCAUUUUUCAG